CAAUAAGCGGAGGAAAAGAAACUAACAAGGAUUCCCCUAGUAACUGCGAGUGAAGCGGGAAAAGCUCAAAUUUUAAAUCUGGCGGUCUCAUUGGCCGUCCGAGUUGUAAUCUAGAGAAGCGUCUUCCGCGCUGGCCCGUGUACAAGUCUCCUGGAAGGGAGCGUCAUAGAGGGUGAGAAUCCCGUCUUUGACAUGGACUACCAGUGCUAUGUGAUGCGCUCUCGACGAGUCGAGUUGUUUGGGAAUGCAGCUCAAAAUGGGUGGUAAAUUCCAUCUAAAGCUAAAUAUAGGCGAGAGACCGAUAGCGAACAAGUACCGUGAGGGAAAGAUGAAAAGAACUUUGGAAAGAGAGUUAAACAGUACGUGAAAUUGCUGAAAGGGAAACGCUUGAUGUCAGUCACGUUCGCCAGGGAUCAACCCCGCUUCAUCGCUGGGCGUAUUUCCUGGUCGGACGGGUCAGCAUCAGUUUCGAUCGGCAUAGAAGGGCGAAGGGAACGUGGCACUCUUCGGAGUGUGUUAUAGCCUUUCGUCGUAUGUGCCGGUGGGGACUGAGGAACUCGGCACCCUGUUCCAGGUGUUGCUUUAGGAUGCUGGCAUAAUGGCCUUAAGCGACCCGUCU
rnacentral:rRNA from 1 species